CCCAAAAUUACCUUAUCCAGCUUCUCAAGAAAGCAUCACCAAUAGAAACCCAACAACCGGUUGAAGGAGAACACCAACUCAACUCAACUACCCACACACAAGUCAACUCCAGGCUUCUCUACUCGAAACUCAUCAAGCCAAAUAUUACUCUCUCUUAAUCACCGUCUCUCCUCUGCGUCAUCAAUGGCUUCCGCUUCCGCAUACCUCCUCUCAAUCUCCCUCUCUCUUCUUUUUGUUUUCUUCAUAUCAAAAUCCCAUUUCAGUCUCUCCCUUACCAAUCUCCACCCUCCAUCUCUGCCUCUCAACUCAAUCACCGACGUCCAUGAUCUCCUCCCUUUGUAUGGUCUUCCAAAGGGUAUUCUUCCAGGAAACGUCAAGUCCUUCAUGCUUGCCAAUGACACAGGUGCCUUCUCCGUCGAGCUAACUAGCACGUGCUACGUGCAGUUCGAUCAGCUUGUGUACUACGACACGAAAAUCAAAGGGAAGUUGAGUUAUGGCGCGGUGAGUGAAGUGUCUGGGAUUCAGGCUAAAAAAUUGUUCCUUUGGCUGCCUGUCACAGGGAUGGAGAAGGUUAAAGGGUCUGAUAUGGUCAGAUUCUUUGUCGGUGCUUUGUCUGAGGACUUGCCUUCUCAGCAGUUCCAAGAUAUUCCUGUUUGUAAGAGCAAAGCUUGUUCUUUAAGGACUAGUUUAGCGUCCAUGUGAGGCGGAAGCUCUCCUCGUUCACCUGUAUCGAAGGAUUACACCAGAACCAUUCUAACGUACAAAAUCUCUUUGUCAUAAAUUGGAUCAAAUACAACAUCUCAGAUUUAUAUUGUAUGGAAUAAUAUAUAUAACUUUCUCUGUUUUAAUUGUACUUGUAUAGCAAUAGAUUUUACAUUUGUAGUCUCUUUUAUCAUCUCUUGCCUUAAAUCUCUUUUUUCAUUUACUGCAA